AGUGCUGUAGCUUAGUGGUAGAGCACUUGCUUAGUAUGCCUGAGGUCCUGGGUUUGAUUCCCAACACUGCAA
rnacentral:tRNA from 1 species